rnacentral:misc_RNA from 1 species
UUUCCGUAGGUGAACCUGCGGAAGGAUCAUUAACAAAUCUCUAUGGAGAAAAUCCAUAUAUACCAGUGAAUUUCUUUGUUUUCUUAAUUAAAAACAAAUGAUAUAUAAACUAUUUAAAAAGUCUUACAAAAAUUAAAAAAUUUAUAUACAACUUUUAACAAUGGAUCUCUAGGCUCUU